UCAGUCUUCGUAAAAUUUUUAAGUUGUUGUCGUUUCAGCGAUCUCGCUUCUGGUCCUGCAAACUUAUUUUUAUUAAAGCAGUUUUCACUUUUGCGGUACAUUUAAUAAUACUGUUCGCCACCAUGCGCGAAAUCGUUUUGAACUGGGGACUACUUGCUAGCUUGAGCGACUUCGCUUGUUCUCCUGGCUUCUGGGCUGAUGACGUUUAUACCCUUGCAGCAAGGGUAUAAGGGCCUUGCUCGCGUUUCCUUUCCUAAUUUGUCCUCAAAAACCCCGCCACAACCUAGGAAUAGCUGAAAAGCCAUGGAGGGGAAGCAGCGGCAUGGAGAACGAGCCAUUCAACGGAAAGCGGAGUCGCAUUCACUACACCACCAGUCGUUAUUCCAUCCUGAACUUCGCGGCAUAUGGCGGACAGCAGGAACGAGCGAGAUCGCGUUAAGCAAGUGUACUUGAGCAGCUCGCGAACGGGGAGCUUUGGCUGCAGUGGCCUGGUCACAGCUACCUUCAACGGCUGGAAGGACUAUCACGUGAAAUCCGACGCCAAGAAAGCGAUAUUUUAGGAUAUAUCUUGGUAAUACGAAAUCGUUUUUGGCAGAACUCAGAUCGACGUGUUUGUUCUACAAUUAAUUGUGCUGUCUAUGUUGUUUUUUUGUUUUUCUCCGCCCAGCUAUGUGAUAAGUAAUAAAUAACUGUGUUUUAAUGUUGCUGGUGUUGGCAAUAUUUUUCUAAGCAUUUGUUA